ACAUUGCUAGUUUUGACGUGAAAGAAAAUUGUCGAUGGUGGUUUUCGGGGGCACCACCCAGAAAUAAGGUUCCCUUUCCCCUCCUCUCUCAUUCUCCAUCGCCUUCUUUCCACACAGGGUCGAUUUAUGCGUUGCUUACUGC
ensembl:ncRNA F47G3.6 ncRNA